rnacentral:misc_RNA from 1 species
AACCUAGCACACCUGCGGUGUGUACCUGCGGAAGGAUCAUUACAGAGAUUGAUGCACCAAGUGCAUCACCUCCAACCCCUUGCGAAAACAACUAUCAUGUGUUGCUUUGGCAGUGUUUCCACUGCCAGAGGUUUACAUAAAAUCAGCUGUUGGAUGUUGUCUGAGUAAACUAUAUGAAUUAUUUAAAACUUUCAACAACGGAUCU